rnacentral:rRNA from 1 species
ACCCAGGCCCUACGGGGCGCAGCAGUCGCGAAAACUCCGCAAUGCACGAAAGUGUGACGGGGCUACCCCGAGUGCCAUCCGCUGAGGAUGGCUUUUCUUUGGUAUAACUAGCCAUUGGAAUAAGGAGAGGGCAAGACUGGUGUCAGCCGCCGCGGUAAUACCAGCUCUCCGAGUGGUAGGGAUGAUUAUUGGGCUUAAAGCGUCCGUAGCCGGCUUAGCAAGUUUCCUGUUAAACCCAGCGACUCAAUCGUUGGAUCGCGGGAAAUACUACUAGGCUAGGAGGCGGGAGAGGUCAACGGUACUUCUGGGGUAGGGGUGAAAUCCUAUAAUCCCGGGAGGACCACCAGUGGCGAAGGCUGUUGACUAGAACGCGCUCGACGGUGAGGGACGAAAGCUGGGGGAGCGAACCGGAUUAGAUACCCGGGUAGUCCCAGCUGUAAACGAUGCGAGCUAGGUGUUGGGAUGGCUACGGGCCAUUUCAGUGCCGCAGGGAAGCCAUUAAGCUCGCCGCCUGGGGAGUACGGCCGCAAGGCUGAAACUUAA